rnacentral:tRNA from 1 species
GGGCCCUUAGCUCAUUUGGUAGAGCACCUGGUUUGCAACCAGGGGGUGGCCGGUUCGAGCCCGGCAGGGUCCACCA